AGUGAACGCUGGCGGUAGGCCUAACACAUGCCAGUCGAACGGCAGCACAGUAAGAGCUUGCUCUUACGGGUGGCGAGUGGCGGACGGGUGAGGAAUACAUCGGAAUCUACUUUUUCGUGGGGGUUAAGGAAGGAAACUUUACCUUAUAACCGAAUCCACCUUAGGGUUGAAGGAGGGGGACCUCGGGACUUGGCGGGAUUAAAUAAGCGAUGUCGGAAUUGGUUGUUGGCGGGGUAAAGGCCCACCAAGGCGACGAUCCGUAGGUGGUCUGAGAGGAUGAUCAGCCACACUGGAACUGAGACACGGUCCAGACUCCUACGGGAGGCAGCAGUGGGGAAUAUUGGACAAUGGGCGCAAGCCUGAUCCAGCCAUACCGCGUGGGUGAAGAAGGCCUUCGGGUUGUAAAGCCCUUUUGUUGGGAAAGAAAAGCAGCAGGUUAAUACCCCGCUGUUCUGACGGUACCCAAAGAAUAAGCACCGGCUAACUUCGUG
rnacentral:rRNA from 1 species